rnacentral:rRNA from 1 species
GAUCCUGGCUCAGGAUGAACGCUAGCUACAGGCUUAACACAUGCAAGUCGAGGGGCCAGCAUGACGAUAGCUUGCUAUUGUUGAUGGGACCGGCGCACGGGUGAGUAACGCGUAUCCAACCUGCCCUUGUCCAUCGGAUAACCCGUCGAAAGGCGGCCUAACACGAUAUGCAGUUCUCAGCAGGCAUCUAACGAGAACGAAAUGUAAAGGAGAAGGAUGGGGAUGCGU